GAUGAACGCUGGCGGCGUGCCUAAUACAUGCAAGUCGAGCGAACAGACGAGGAGCUUGCUCCUCUGACGUUAGCGGCGGACGGGUGAGUAACACGUGGAUAACCUACCUAUAAGACUGGGAUAACUUCGGGAAACCGGCGCUAAUACCGGAUAAUCUAUUGAACCGCAUGGUUCAAUAGUGAAAGACGGUUUUGCUGUCACUUAUAGCUGGAUCCGCGCCGCAUUAGCUAGUUGGUAAGGUAACGGCUUACCAAGGCAACGAUGCGUAGCCGACCUGAGAGGGUGAUCGGCCACACUGGAACUGAAACACGGACCAGACUCCUACGAGAGGCAGCAGUAGGGAAUCUUCCGCAAUGGGCGAAAGCCUGACGGAGCAACGCCGCGUGAGUGAUGAAGGUCUUCGGAUCGUAAAACUCUGUUAUUAGGGAAGAACAAAUGUGUAAGUAACUAUGCACGUCUUGACGGUACCUAAUCAGAAAGCCACGGCUAACUACGUG
rnacentral:rRNA from 1 species